rnacentral:rRNA from 1 species
GAUGAACGCUGGCGGCGUGCCUAAUACAUGCAAGUCGAGCGAACGGACGAGAAGCUUGCUUCUCUGAUGUUAGCGGCGGACGGGUGAGUAACACGUGGAUAACCUACCUAUAAGACUGGGAUAACUUCGGGAAACCGGAGCUAAUACCGGAUAAUAUUUUGAACCGCAUGGUUCAAAAGUGAAAGACGGUCUUGCUGUCACUUAUAGAUGGAUCCGCGCUGCAUUAGCUAGUUGGUAAGGUAACGGCUUACCAAGGCAACGAUGCAUAGCCGACCUGAGAGGGUGAUCGGCCACACUGGAACUGAGACACGGUCCAGACUCCUACGGGAGGCAGCAGUAGGGAAUCUUCCGCAAUGGGCGAAAGCCUGACGGAGCAACGCCGCGUGAGUGAUGAAGGUCUUCGGAUCGUAAAACUCUGUUAUUAGGGAAGAACAUAUGUGUAAGUAACUGUGCACAUCUUGACGGUACCUAAUCAGAAAGCCACGGCUAACUACGUGCCAGCAGCCGCGGUAAUACGUAGGUGGCAAGCGUUGUCCGGAAUUAUUGGGCGUAAAGCGCGCGUAGGCGGUUUUUUAAGUCUGAUGUGAAAGCCCACGGCUCAACCGUGGAGGGUCAUUGGAAACUGGAAAACUUGAGUGCAGAAGAGGAAAGUGGAAUUCCAUGUGUAGCGGUGAAAUGCGCAGAGAUAUGGAGGAACACCAGUGGCGAAGGCGACUUUCUGGUCUGUAACUGACGCUGGUGUGCGAAAGCGUGGGGAUCAAACAGGAUUAGAUACCCUGGUAGUCCACGCCGUAAACGAUGAGUGCUAAGUGUUAGGGGGUUUCCGCCCCUUAGUGCUGCAGCUAACGCAUUAAGCACUCCGCCUGGGGAGUACGACCGCAAGGUUGAAACUCAAAGGAAUUGACGGGGACCCGCACAAGCGGUGGAGCAUGUGGUUUAAUUCGAAGCAACGCGAAGAACCUUACCAAAUCUUGACAUCCUUUGACAACUCUAGAGAUAGAGCCUUCCCCUUCGGGGGACAAAGUGACAGGUGGUGCAUGGUUGUCGUCAGCUCGUGUCGUGAGAUGUUGGGUUAAGUCCCGCAACGAGCGCAACCCUUAAGCUUAGUUGCCAUCAUUAAGUUGGGCACUCUAAGUUGACUGCCGGUGACAAACCGGAGGAAGGUGGGGAUGACGUCAAAUCAUCAUGCCCCUUAUGAUUUGGGCUACACACGUGCUACAAUGGACAAUACAAAGGGCAGCGAAACCGCGAGGUCAAGCAAAUCCCAUAAAGUUGUCCUCAGUUCGGAUUGUAGUCUGCAACUCGACUACAUGAAGCUGGAAUCGCUAGUAAUCGUAGAUCAGCAUGCUACGGUGAAUACGUUCCCGGGUCU